AGAAUCAACGCUGGCGGCGUGCCUAACACAUGCAAGUCGAACGAGAAAGUGGAGCAAUCCAUGAGUAAAGUGGCGCACGGGUGAGUAACACGUGACUAACCUACCCUUGAGUGGGGGAUAACCUAGGGAAACCUGGGCUAAUACCGCAUAAUAUCGAGAGAUCAAAGGAGCAAUUCGCUUAAGGAGGGGGUCGCGGCUGAUUAGCUAGUUGGUGAGGUAAUGGCUCACCAAGGCUAUGAUCAGUAUCCGGCCUGAGAGGGCGCACGGACACACUGGAACUGAAACACGGUCCAGACUCCUACGGAGGCAGCAGUGGGGAAUUUUGCGCAAUGGGGGAAACCCUGACGCAGCAACGCCGCGUGGAGGAUGAAGUCCCUUGGGACGUAAACUCCUUUCGAUCGGGACGAUAAUGACGGUACCGGAAGAAGAAGCCCCGGCUAACUUCGCGCCAGCAGCCGC
rnacentral:rRNA from 1 species